rnacentral:rRNA from 1 species
UACGUAGGUGGCAAGCGUUGUCCGGAUUUACUGGGUGUAAAGGGCGCGUAGGCGGGCUCGUAAGUCAGACGCGAAAUACCGGGGCUCAACCCCGGGGCUGCGUUUGAAACUGCGAGUCUUGAGUGCCGGAGAGGAAAGCGGAAUUCCCAGUGUAGCGGUGAAAUGCGUGGAUAUUAGGAGGAACACCAGUGGCGAAGGCGGCUUUCUGGACGGUAACUGACGCUGAGGCGCGAAAGCGUGGGGAGCAAACAGG